UACAGAGGUCUCAAGCGUUGUUCGGAUUCAUUGGGCGUAAAGGGCGCGUAGGCGGUCAGCACAAGUCAGUUGUGAAAUCUCCGGGCUUAACUCGGAAAGGUCAACUGAUACUGUGCGACUAGAGUGCAGAAGGGGCAACUGGAAUUCUCGGUGUAGCGGUGAAAUGCGUAGAUAUCGAGAGGAACACCUGCGGCGAAGGCGGGUUGCUGGGCUGACACUGAAGCACGAAAGCGUGGGGAGCAAACAGG
rnacentral:rRNA from 1 species